UACGGAAGGUGCAAGCGUUGUUCGGAUUGACUGGGCGUAAAGAGCACGUAGGCGGGCUUGUAAGUCGAUUGUGAAAGCCCCGAGCUUAACUCGGGAACUGCAGUCGAAACUGCUUGUCUUGAAUACCUGAGAGGUUAGUAGAAUUCCUGGUGUAGAAGUGAAAUUCGUAGAUAUCAGGAGGAAUACCAGAGGCGAAGGCGGCUAACUGGCAGUGUAUUGACGCUAAGGUGCGAAAGCGUGGGGAGCAAACAGG
rnacentral:rRNA from 1 species